GAGACACACUACAACAGGAGAGGGAGCAAGCGCGAGAGGAUAUUAGAAGAGAGGCUUGUCUCCAAGAUAUGGAAGGAAGUGAGAAAUGACAGGGCUGCAAGCUUUGUAUGUAGGAGCCCGGCAGGGCGGGGGAGCGGCGAGGAGAGCCAAGUGGAUUCUCAGAAAAGGGGGGAAGCCAUCGAAGAGCUAAAGGUGAUUAGAGGGGGAUAUUGAUUUCUUAUUCUGCCAGAGAUUUAAGCAGGCAUGCGAGGAAUCUGCACCAUGGUUGGCAAAAAGAGACCCGUUGCCUCCUGUAACCAGACACUCAGGCUUUCCAGGAGCCCAGGGAGCAAGCCGAGAAGAAAGGGGGCAGUGUGGUCUAGGAAAAUUCAACUUGUCGCUGAUUUGUGCCUGAUGCCUGCUGUCCGUCAGCAGCCUCCCUUACAAUCUUUUUUUCUCUCUCUCCUUUUUUUUUCCUUGCCUUCUCCUUCUUCACUGAAGCCUAGGGGAGCCAGUAAAGAUUAAAUGUGCUUCUCAAAGGCAGCCACUUCAUGCUGCUAUGUCGAAAGGGCCAUUAUUAUUAUUAUAUUUUAAUGGUAAAAGAGAAAAGGAGAGAGGUUGAGCGAGCGAGAGAGAAGCUAGGUGUGAUGAUGACAGACUAGCUUUUCUGAGAGGAAAAGGAAAAGGGAAGGGAGAGAAAAAGGAGAGCCUCUGAGCUCAACGGAGGAUUGUGCCUGAGAAGAACCCACAGAGGAGGCUGUGCGGGCCCCGCUCCGCUUCGAAUGGUUGUGUUGAUGUUCCUUUCAGCUGGUCCUAUAGUACCCCUCCUCAGGAAUGUCUCCCCAGUGCAAGGACAAAGACUGAAGAGACUGCUAUAUUGAUGGACUCUCAAGCCAACUAUGAAGUUGAAACAAAGAAAGUGAUCACCUGAAGACACCUCCUCUGCUAAGAAACACCCCCAAAUUGUGCAGCUUCUGCCACUAGAACUCUCAGAACAAGAGACAAUCUUUUCAAGAAACAGAAAAACUCAAUAAUGACAUCUAGAUUUUCAUGAGCCAAGAACUUUCCCUUCCUCAUGUGUAUUCCUCUGUUUGUACUUAAAUUCAUGUGACAUUCAUUUUUUUCCUAGUAUGGAUAUGCUUAUUAAUGCACUUGUUUCAAAAUCCCAAAUUGCACAAAUGUGUUAAUAUUUUAAGAAACAAAAUGAAUCCUACAAGGAGAAUGAUUUUUAGCCACACAUAGGGUUGGAUCUUGAGAGUGACCUACAGAAUAAAAGUACUUUUAAAAUAAAGUAGUCAGAGGCUAUUCAAAGGGUAAAAUAAUCAUAGUACCACAUUGGUCCACUUGACACUAACCAAUCGAUCAUUUUUUUUUAAUCAAGAAAGCUAGAUUCUAUCAGAUAAAAUCACUGCUUCUAAAGAGUUUAAAUCUAGUUAGAAAAAGUUAUAGAAAUGUUUGCAAAGAUAAGUAACAGAUAGAGUCAGUAGAGGAUAAGAUCAAAAACAAAACCAAGCAAAAGAUGAGUUCAGGGGAGUUUGCCAUCAAGUUGGCAAAACUGACUUACUUAGGGAAGAAAGUUAUAAAACAGGAAAAUAUGAGAUGAACCUUGAGUGAUGUGGAAGAUUUAGAUAAAUGGAAAGGAAGGAGAAAAUGGAGUUCUUUAGGUGGUUGUAAUUGGAGGAGGAAAUGAAUACACACAUCUUGUUGACUUAAACCCAGACAUUCAGCAGCUCUCUAUACAUAUCUGGAAAAGACUGCACAGUCACCUCCUGUCUCUCACCCCAGGUAUUACUUAGAAUUAUUAUCAUAUUUCCCUUCCUUUAAAGUAAGUAAGGGUGAUUGGUGACAAUAUGGAGAACUAUGAUUUUUCCAUUAACCUAAUAAUAAUUGGUAUUUAUUGAGUUCUGUUAAGCAUUUUACAUAUUAACUCACUUAAGCCUUUCAACAGCCUUGCAAAAUAGGUAUUAUUAUCCCCAUUUUACAGGCAAGAAAACUGAGGUUUAAGUAACUUGCCGAAGUGCCAUAUACAGGGCUCACAUUCAGUAUUGCAGUUGCAAAGCUCAUGAUCUAUAGUGCCAAGUUGCAAUAUUGUAGUCAAUGUCACAAUUAUUACCCCUUUUUAUAUUCCUUGAUAUUUUUCCAUGGCAAACAAUUAGCUAUUUCAUUUAAUAAUCACCUAAAACUUUUCAGUCUUCUGAUUAAAAUUACGCUGGAGUGAUAGAAUGUAUUUUCAUGAUAGAAAUUGGGAAAAAAAAUGGGGAAUGAAGUUUAUCAGCAUUUCAGACUUGUUUUUUUUUUUUUUUUUUGCAAGACUUUGAUGAGAUUGUUCACUUUUGUCUAUGUAAAAUCCCAAAUCCUUGAGAAUAAAAAAGGGGGAGGUUUAAGUCACUUGUUGCAAUGCCCUUUUUAAUAGAGGCAAUAAAUCUAAAGGCCAUAAAUUUAGAGUGACUUACAGAAGAUCGAACUUUGGAGUGUGGCAGAGUAAGGGAUGGAAACCGGGCCCUCCAGUUCACUAUCAGUAGCUUUUGCACUGGUCUGCCCUUCCUAAAUUAAGUAUGCACUUCAAUUUGAUGAGUGGAAACAGUCUAUCUGGGCAGUAACCAGGGAGCUUUGUGCCUAGUAGAUUGCUUCUGUUCUGCACUUCUUUGGUUUCCCACCUCAAUGUAAAAAAUAGCUAGCAAUGAAGUCCAGAAGUUGUCAAUGGUUCAUCCCCAGAAGAAUGCAUAAUGUCCAAAGUUGUAUGUGUAUGAUGUCUUCAAUGGUAUUAAGUUAUUUCAAAUUCUUAGUUCACCUACAUAAAUCAUUUCUAACAAGCAUCUUCUUAACCAACUUUAUGCACAGUGUAUGUUUGUAAGUGCUUCUGCACGAAUGUUUAUACAUGACUGUUUCCAUAGUACUUAUGUUUUUAAAAAUAUUCAGUCAUUUCCUACUAUAAUCCUCAUGUAUCCAUGUAACUGACUCAAAAAUACUUCAGCCACAGAAAGCUAAAACUGAGCAAAUCUCAUUCUUCUUUUCCAUCCCCUUUGCAUGUGGCUGGCAUUUAGUAAUGAUUAAUAAUAUGGCCAGCUGAAUAACAGAGGUUUGAGACACAAUUCUUUCUCAAAGGAGUCAGCUAAGCUGGGUCUACUUAUGGACAAACAUCUAAAUGUGUGGAAGUAUCUGAUAUUUGACAAUGGUAAAUUUCCACUUAGCUAGCUAGCAUUGUCAGACUUCAAUCUCCUCAUGGCUCUGGCCGUCCUGUUUUAAGCAUGAUAAUUGUUGGCCACAUCUCACAUAGUUCUCAUUGAGUGAGUUCAUAAAUAAACAGGGUUUUUUUUUUUUUUUAAAGAGCAGCCAAGCACAAAGUGUGACUUUGUUGACAUUUUAUGUGACUUUGUCAUAUGUUCCUAACCCCCAAUAAAAGCAAUGUUGCAUCAACUGUGAA
rnacentral:lncRNA from 1 species